rnacentral:rRNA from 1 species
UUCCCCUAGUAGCGGCGAGCGAAGCGGGAAGAGCUCAAAUUUAUAAUACUGGCACCUUCGGUGUCCGAGUUGUAAUCUCUAGAAAUGGUUUCCGCGUUGGACCGCACACAAGUCUGUUGGAAUACAGCGGCAUAGUGGUGAGACCACCGUAUAUGGUGCGGACGCCCAGCGCUUUGUGAUACAUUUUCGAAGAGUCGAGUUGUUUGGGAAUGCAGCUCAAAUUGGGUGGUAAAUUCCAUCUAAAGCUAAAUAUUGGCGAGAGACCGAUAGCGAACAAGUACCGUGAGGGAAAGAUGAAAAGCACUUUGUAAAGAGAGUUAACAGUACGUGAAAUUGUUGGAAGGGAAACGCUUGAAGUCAGACUUGCUUGCUGAGCAAUCGGUUUGCAGGCCAGCAUCAGAUUUCCGGCAUGGAUAAUGGUAGAGAGAAGGUAGCAGUUUCGGCUGUGUUAUAGCUCUCUGCUGGAUACAUCUUGGGGGACUGAGGAACGCAGUGUGCCUUUGGCGGCCGUUUCGACCUCUUCACACUUAGGAUGCUGGUGGAAUGGCUUUUAACGACCCGUCUUGAAACACGGACCAAGGAGUCU